UACGAAGGGGGCUAGCGUUGUUCGGAGUUACUGGGCGUAAAGGGCGCGUAGGCGGCGCACCAAGUCAGGCGUGAAAGCCCUGGGCUCAACCCGGGAAUUGCGCUUGAGACUGGUGUGCUUGAGUACGGGAGAGGAUAGUGGAAUUCCCAGUGUAGAGGUGAAAUUCGUAGAUAUUGGGAAGAACACCGGUGGCGAAGGCGGCUAUCUGGACCGUAACUGACGCUGAGGCGCGAAAGCGUGGGGAGCGAACC
rnacentral:rRNA from 1 species